CGAUGUUCCUUUCCUCUUCCCUUCGUUCCUUUUCACUUCGCGACAAGGAAGAGCUCUCCUUCCCUCUCUGCAGCAAGGAAGGAGGCUCUUCUUCCCUCUCCAUAGCAAGCAAAGAGACUCUUCUUCCUUCUCUGUAACAAGAAAGGAAGAGCUCUUCUUCCCUCUUCGCAGCAAGUAAGGAGGAGCUCAAAGGUAACCCUAAAUUUCACAUUUCUUAUACAAAUAGAAUCCCAGCGAGCAUCGGCCGUGCAAACCAGCCACCUACCGACCGCAUGCCCCCUUUGUGUGUGUUUGUACACGAAGUGACCAUUCAUCGCCUGAUGAGGCAGCGACCCCCUCGUGUGCGACCGCAAGUGAAGUGAGUGCUCGUCACCUAGCGAGGUAGCGACCCCCUUGUUGUGUUUUUUUAUAUAAUUAUUUAGAGAUGGUGCUGUGUAAAUCUCAUCCAACUUAGUCCUCCAAGGUCUUAACUUUUACAUUUAUCAAAAAUGUAUUCUCCUUGAGAAAACUUUCUAAUCCCACACGGGGAUAAAGUGAGUUUCCUAGAAGUGGUACAUGAACUACAUAUCCUCAAUCACAAUUAAUGAUGUAGAACUAGUGAUAGCUAAAACUAUUAAUUUCAGAAUUUCCAUUAGGUUUUAUGGUCUUAAGUAUUAUUUGAACUAUUUUGGGAUGACUAACAGGUUUCUUAUUCUUCCAUUGUACACGAAGGCCCAAGUAUUCUGAAUUUGGAAGCUCAUCAUUGUGCAUUCAUUCAAUUUCCUAAUUUAAAUUUCCUUGUAACUUCAUUGGCAGAGGUGCCUUGCUAGAUGGUUAGUGGAGAAAGGCAGGCAGCACGGAUUCAUUGUUUAUACUUGAAAGCAAUAUUCAGGCACAAUACUUAUCCAAGAUGCUAUUGGUGAGAAGGUUGGCAAAUUCAUUUAGCCAUCUUCAACCUUGUUUGGUAGCUUUAUUGUUGCAUUGACGAAAGGUUGGCUCCUAUCACUCCUUCUAAUGUCAAGCAUACCUCUUAUUGCUGUUGCUGGAGCUGCCGUGUCAUUACUUAUUUUCAAAUCCUCAAACAGUGGGCAGAAGGCAUAUGCCCAAGCUAGUACUAUGGUUGAACACACAGUUGGAUCUAUUAUAACAGUGUCUUGGCCAAGCAUCACCAUGCCUGUCCUCCUUUGCAUCGGGCCAAGCUGCAACAUACCAAAUGUUCGAGAUAAUCAACCAAAUACCGAGUAUUGAUGUUUAUGACACCAGCGACAUUUUGUUGGAAGAAAUCAAGGGUGAUGAACUCAAAGAUGUUCACUUUAGCUAUCCAUCGAGGUUUGAACAACUGAUAUUUGAUGGCUUCUCCAUGUGUAUUUCAAGUGGUAUGACUAUGGCUUUAGUAGGAGUGGCAGUGGAAAAUCUACUGUGAUUAGAUUAGUGGAGAGAUUCUAUGAUCCGCAAGUUGGCGAAGUACUGAUAUUUGUUUUGUGAAUUAAUGGUUGAUGGGUGAGUAACUUUGCUGAAUCUUGAAAUUAAGAAGAUAAAUGAUGAGAAGAAAGCAACCUUGGUUGCUCAGUUUGCAGCAGAGGCAACACUUUGAAGAGUUUAUGCAGCUCAAAAAGAUGAUGACACGCCUCCAAUUGAAGCCAUUCUUGCACCUCUUGAGGCAGAGUUGAAGUUAGCACGGCAAGAGCUACAGGAUGCCAACAAGGCUUUGGAUCAGCUUACUAAAUCAAAGGAAGCAGCACUAUCUUAUGCAUUGUGUUUUUAGUGAUGCAGAACCGUGGGCUUGCUCCUGAAGGCAAAGGCUAACUUCUAUUUAGGAAGAUUAGAUCAAGCAUUUGAAUUGCUGAAGAAGCUUGAACAAGGGAAAAGUAUAAUGGACAAGUACUGUUAAAUUUCACUAUUUUUUUAGAUUUUAAUAGGGUAAUAUUUUUUUCUUCAAAUAUGUUCUUACAAACUAUGACUUUUAUUAAUAGUCAGUUUGUAAUAGCAGAAUUUAACAAGAUUAUGUAAUAGCUAGUUUGUUAUAGAUUUCGUAUCUUGUUUUGGAUCUUCA